rnacentral:rRNA from 1 species
CCUGAUCCAGCAAUGCCGCGUGUGUGAAGAAGGCCUUCGGGUUGUAAAGCACUUUUGUCCGGGAAGAAAUCGCACCUGAUAAUACCGGGUGUGGAUGACGGUACCGGAAGAAUAAGGACCGGCUAACUACGUGCCAGCAGCCGCGGUAAUACGUAGGGUCCAAGCGUUAAUCGGAAUUACUGGGCGUAAAGCGUGCGCAGGCGGUUGUGCAAGACCGAUGUGAAAUCCCCGGGCUUAACCUGGGAAUUGCAUUGGUGACUGCACGGCUAGAGUGUGUCAGAGGGGGGUAGAAUUCCACGUGUAGCAGUGAAAUGCGUAGAGAUGUGGAGGAAUACCGAUGGCGAAGGCAGCCCCCUGGGAUAACACUGACGCUCAUGCACGAAAGCGUGGGGAGCAAACAGGAUUAGAUACCCUGGUAGUCCACGCCCUAAACGAUGUCAACUAGUUGUUGGGGAUUCAUUUCCUUAGUAACGUAGCUAACGCGUGAAGUUGACCGCCUG